rnacentral:misc_RNA from 1 species
GGGGAAAUGGCAGCCGCCAGUCUGGAGGUAGAGUGAAGACGUCCGCACGGAAGGCUGGGUUUCGCCCGGAUCUGAGGCUCCUAGCCACGUGCCCGCCGGAUCCAGGCGGCGCGACGCGGCAGGUGGAGGAGCGGCGCCGGGUGCUAGCACGGGACGACGGCGGGCAUGGGAGGCAUUGGGAACCGUACCGAAAUCUGCAGCGCCGCGCUUUGUCUGCUUCUCGGGACGAGGAGUGGACACUGGACAGUGGAGGAGGGAGCCUGUGCCUGUUUGCUGUUUCUUGCGGGGAAUGGUUUGUUUAUCACGGGGCCAUGUACGGACGAAACCGUG